AUGAACGCUGGCGGCGUGCCUAAUACAUGCAAGUCGAGCGAACAGAUAAGGAGCUUGCUCCUUUGACGUUAGCGGCGGACGGGUGAGUAACACGUGGGUAACCUACCUAUAAGACUGGAAUAACUCCGGGAAACCGGGGCUAAUGCCGGAUAACAUUUAGAACCGCAUGGUUCUAAGGUGAAAGAUGGUUUUGCUAUCACUUAUAGAUGGACCCGCGCCGUAUUAGCUAGUUGGUAAGGUAACGGCUUACCAAGGCAACGAUACGUAGCCGACCUGAGAGGGUGAUCGGCCACACUGGAACUGAGACACGGUCCAGACUCCUACGGGAGGCAGCAGUAGGGAAUCUUCCGCAAUGGGCGAAAGCCUGACGGAGCAACGCCGCGUGAGUGAUGAAGGUCUUCGGAUCGUAAAACUCUGUUAUUAGGGAAGAACAAAUGUGUAAGUAACUGUGCACGUCUUGACGGUACCUAAUCAGAAAGCCACGGCUAACUACGUG
rnacentral:rRNA from 1 species